rnacentral:rRNA from 1 species
UAGGUUAGUAAAGCGAACCCGGCGAACUGAAACAUCUAAGUAGCCGGAGGAAAGGAUAUCAAACGAUACUCCGUGAGUAGUGGCGAGCGAAAGCGGAUCAGGCCAAUGGUUAAGAUUGUACAACCAGAAUUACCUGGAAAGGUGAACCGUAGAGAGUGAUAGUCUCGUAUGGGUAAUGACAGUUUUAAUCUUCGAGUAAGACGGGACACGUGAAAUCUUGUCUGAAUAUGGGGGGACCACCCUCCAAGCCUAAGUACUCGUGUAUGACCGAUAGUGAACUAGUACCGUGAGGGAAAGGUGAAAAGAACCCCGACGAGGGGAGUGAAAUAGAUCCUGAAAUUGAAUGCUUACAAGCUGUCGAAGCCCGCAAGGGUGACGGCGUACCUUUUGUAUAAUGGGUCAGCGAGUUAGUUUAAAGUGCAAGCUUAAGCCGUAAGGUGUAGGCGUAGCGAAAGCGAGUCUGAAUAGGGCGAUAGUACUUUGGAUUAAACCCGAAACCGAGUGAUCUAGCCAUGAGCAGGUUGAAGAUAAGGUAACACUUAUUGGAGGACCGAACCAGUUGACGUUGAAAAGUCUUUGGAUGACUUGUGGUUAGGGGUGAAAGGCCAAUCAAACUCGGAUAUAGCUGGUUCUCCGCGAAAACUAUUUAGGUAGUGCGUCAUACGAAUUCCAUCGGGGGUAAAGCACUGGAUGGGCAAGGGG